AUAUUUCUACAUUCUUCAUGUGAUGAAUAAUAAUCGCCAAAGUCAUGCACUGAGGGUUUCUGUUUCUUUAGAGAGAUUGCCGCAAAUCACCUUUGGCUAUUAAUAUUGAAUAAAUUAAAUAUACCACUGAAGAACUUGAUUUGAAUUUUGUUCUUGUUAGCUUCACUAAAUACUUUUUCAAUUACAGGUAGCUUACUUAUGUUAAAAUCUCAACAAUUCAUUAAGAAAAUUCAAAUCAAGGGGAAACCCAAAACAAAAAUGGAUGCAUUUGCAUGAAUUUCAAAAAAGGCUACACCAUCUGUCAGCAGAGUAAACAUUUACUAUGCAUGCAUCACACAUCAUGCAAAUCCACUGUCAAAUUGUCAGGAUAUGGAAUGGAACACAUGAUUAACAGCCCACUUUUUUUGUUUAAAUUCUUAUAAUAACCUACAGUAAAUUAGGGGCUACAAUUCACAAUUCAAUGUUGUAUUGAUUCUUAAUUUACAGUACAGAAGGAGCUACUGUUUACCGUUGCAUCAGUGACAAUGCCUAAUUCACUGUCGUUUCAAGUGGCAGUUUGUUGAAUUCAAAUUGAUAAAUCUUUUUAACCUAAAUACAGGAGGAUGAGAGUAUAUUUUAAACAAGAAUAAGUCCACAGUACACGAAUGCCCCAAUCGCACUAUCAUUUUCAAUGUUCAAAGGACCGUGAAAUUAGGUAAAAUAUCUAAUUUGGCAUAAAAAUUAGAAAUGAUCAUAUCAUAAGGAACAUGUGUACCUUG
rnacentral:lncRNA from 1 species